AUGUUCACGGAGAACCAUGUGACCACUGUUGAUGCACGAUUCAUCGGUAUUGCACGAGAGAUAGCUGACGCACGUUGCCCUGCGGAUAUUGUCCAGAGGAGUUUUGGUUCUGCCGUGUUAGCAGCUACGUAUAGAGGCUUGUGCAAAGGUUGCUUAUUGAAGUCUAGAAAGUCAGGUCUGGUUGGAUGUCCACUAUUGUUGCAGCUCUGGUCUUACGAGAGAUUCCCUAUUGGACGACCCUAUGUCUCCAUUGACACACCGUUUGGGUUGGAGGACAUGGCAGGGGCUUACGUGCCUGCUAUCGGCGACUUGCCUACUAUGGGAUCUGUUUGGGCACGGAGAGAGAGACAGUUUGCACAUACCCAGGUGAAGGGCUGCUACCCGUUCUUCACGGUGCAGUUUGAUAGUUUGCACGAGGAUCAAGUUAUCUGGGAGCCCUACUUGUAUCAGACUAUAACAUCUAGGUAUCCAGUUGGGAUCUCUGCCUUAUGCACUAGAGAUCGGCACUACUGGAUGACCAAGGCAAAGUUGGUGUUCGACGUGACGGUUGAGGAGAUGGCUCUUCAUAGGGUGAUGAGACAGUUUGGUCUAUGUCAAGAGCCUGCAAUUCCAGAUAUUCCAUGGAUACCAGACCACGUUCACAAGUACAGUCGCGUAGGAGGAAACAAGUCCAUGGCUGUUUGGCUUCAGAGCAUUAGCCCUUACGUUCAAGAAUGGACUAUGGCACCGACAAAUAUCUGGAAUGAGGUUGGACCCUUUGACUGGGACAAGUUUGGGUUGUAUUUACAAACUUACCGGCAUACAACGAGGAUCUACUUGGUUCCAUCAGCUGCUCCUGAUCAGAUUAAAGCCCCUCUGACCAGCGAUAUGUACCCAACUACCUCUGUUGUGGGAACGAGACACCACGCGAGUGACUUGACAGUCCAGGCGCGAGAGGAGGUUUCCGCUUUAAUGCGGCAGGUUGAGAGGGGGGAUACUAUCCCACAGCCAGAGCAUCUCUCAUGGUUGAGGCGUAUGGAUGAGAAGUUAAGAGGGAUUUACGCAUCACUUACAUGUAGACGAUCUACGGAUGUUGUCAUUCCUCGUCCCGCACAUCGGCCCCCACGUCCCUCUGUCCAUCGUUCAGAACCACGACACUCUGUGCAGCGUUCAGAACCACGACACUCCGUGCAGCAACCACGCCUCUCUGUGCAUCAACCAUCUCCUUCACAACUAGGGAGCUCUUCCUGGAAUUAG
rnacentral:rRNA from 1 species